CGUGAUGAAGUAGAACGACUUGAUGGUGCGAACUACUACUACUACUCGUAUUUAUCUAUAUAUAUAUAUUAUAACUAUCUAUCUGGAGAGACUCAUCGGUAGCCAGCCAAAGCCAGCAGCAGACUAUACUUGAGAGGAAUUCCGGGAUGCCGGUCACGCGCCUCGCAAGCUAUUAAUCAGAAGCUUUCACGUCCCCCAGGUGUAUAUAUACUAUUUCCACAUUUCUCUUUAUUCAGUCGUGAAUGAGGGAAAGUUCUCUUGUCGUGUGUGGAUUUCUCACGAUCCAUUGGCUCCGAGUGUGUGCUUGUGUGUAUAGGGUAAAAAAGAUCAAGAUCAACAAAAACAGCCGACAAACCGUAGCGAAUAGAGCAUAACACCGUCAAAGAAGAAAAAUACGAGUUUUCCUACUAAGCAGACAAUGUUUCUCUGUCAUUGCCAUAUCAAUCCUGCCGUGUAGACAACUGGAUCAACUAUUCUUUAUACACAAACUGAUUUGCAUUGCGCGGUAGAAGCAGGAACGCGGCAAUCAACCUCAUCUGCAUAAGGACUAUAUCCGUGCAACUGGAACAGUCACCUUCAGUUUUAAACAAGUUUUUAUAUUUCGUUUUCAUUCCUUCAUACAUAAUUUCAUUCCAUUUCUACAUGUAAUAUUGUCGGUCGAUUGUGUGUGUGUCCGCUUCACCUUGGAAGAAGUGUGCCGUGAUCGACACAAUACGGCCUUGGAUCCGUUUUAUUUCGCACGACAAGAGUGUGUAAUAAUAUACUUCUCUCUCACACACACACACACACAAGUAUCGACACACAUCCGAGUUGGAAAGAGAGAGAGAGACCUGCGAGCUACCAGAGUCUUAGCUGCUGCGAUACCACCACCACCGAGUCUUAUCGAUUUUCGGGACCAUCGACCAUGCGCCCAACUCACUUUUGUACCUAUACAGACUCUCUCUUUCUCUCUCUCUCCCGCGUGAUCGUUUGUCGAUUGUGAGAUAGCAGGGACCGAUAUACGGCGCCCAUAUAGGCGGCGGAGGCAUUUUUAUGCGUCUGAAGAAGAGGAGCUGCGUCGCACACAAUGGCCAACGAAAUAAGGAGCUCGGAGGCAAGUCAAUCGAAAAAUUAAAUAGAGACAAUGCGGCCAAAAGAAUAAACGAAGAUGGAAACUUGCUUUAACCACUUUCCCGUUUUUUUUUUUGAGAUCGACACACGUCCUAUUCUAUUUGGGUGACACAUUCGAUCGAAAGCUCUCUCUUUCUUUUGUAUAUACAGUUCGAUGCUCACGUUUCAUAUAUAUAUAUAGAAUACCACCACCAGCCGCCGCACAUAAUUGAACAGCACACCACCAUUGAUUGCUGACGUCAUUGUAGAAGCUUAACAAUUCACAGUGUCCUGUGCGGUCGUCAUGGCUAGGUAUAUAUCUAGCUUCCUUUUUUUUCGGCUAUAGCUGGAAAAGAGAGAGAGGAAAAUAGGCACACAUAAUGCAAUAGCAAAUGGCUCUCUGAUGUACGAUGUAAUCACUUACUUACAGAGACCAGCACCCCCCCCCUCGAAUAGUUGGACGCUCGGCUGUUGGCUUCUUCUAAUGACCAUCCAUUACGAUUUUCUAUUAGCUGCUCUAUGUACUCUGUCACACGGACGUCAGGAAGAAAAACAAAUCAGUACAUCAGUUUAGACCACACCUUGAUAGUACACCACCAUCAGCAUGUUGGGAAAAAAAAUCGAUGCCAGCCAAGC